UUCGCAAUGCCCGAAAGGGUGACGAAGCGACGCCGCGUGAGUGAGGAAGGCCUUCGGGUUGUAAAGCUCUGUCAGGAGUUAAGAAAUAUAAGUGUGUUAAUACCACAUUUAUUUGACGAAGGCUCCAAAGGAAGCCACGGCUAACUCUGUGCCAGCAGCCGCGGUAAUACAGAGGUGGCAAGCGUUGUUCGGAAUUAUUGGGCGUAAAGAGCACGUAGGUGGGUUUGUAAGUCAGAUGUGAAAGCCUUCUGUUCAACGGAAGAAUUGCAUCUGAAACUGCGAGUCUUGAGUGUAGGAGGGGAGAAUGGAACUUCUGGUGGAGCGGUGAAAUGCGUAGAUAUCAGAAGGAACGCCGGCGGCGAAAGCGAUUCUCUGGCCUAUUACUGACACUCGGUGUGCGAAAGCUAGGGGAGCAAACGGGAUUAGAUACCCCGGUAGUCCUAGCUGUAAACGAUGGGCACUAAGUAGAGGGGUUUUA
rnacentral:rRNA from 1 species